GUAGGUGAACCUGCGGAAGGAUCAUUAACACGUAUCCACGUAUUAAACACUCUGUGAACUUAAUCUCCCUAACGUUGAGCAGUUGUUAAUAGGAUUAGUGGUGGGUAUAGAAGAUUCUAAACAAAUCUCUUAUACAAUUCUAUUAACUAGGGUUUCGAGCCCAGUACUCUCUCUGUUAGGCAUACACCUUCCAUCACUGUCAACACAAACCAUUUUCACUUGUAAACUCAUCUUGACUGAUGUACUUAUGUAAGAGAAAUCUGGCAUAAGCAAGUUAUUCGAAACUAAGCACAACUCUUAGCAAUGGAUAUCUUGGUUCUC
rnacentral:misc_RNA from 1 species